GACGAACGCUGGCGGCGUGCCUAACACAUGCAAGUCAACUUGACUGAAGGAGCAAUCUGACAGUAGAGUGGCGCAAGGGUGUGUAACGCGUAAGUAACUUGCCCAAGGUAAGGAAUAACGUCGAGAAAUCGGCGCUAAUACCUCACAAUGCAGCGGAUCCGCAUGGAUAUGUUGUUAAAGGUUUACCGCCUUGGGAUAGGCUUGCGUCUGAUUAGCUAGUUGGUGUGGUAACGGCACACCAAGGCUACGAUCAGUAACUGGUCUGAGAGGAUGAUCAGUCACACUGGAACUGAGACACGGUCCAGACUCCUACGGGAGGCAGCAGUGAGGAAUAUUGGGCAAUGCUCGAAAGAGUGACCCAGCAACGCCGCGUGGAGGAUGAAGGUAUUCUAUAUCGUAAACUCCUGUGAGAGCAGACGAAAGACAGAUUAUUAAUCUGGAUGACUGUAUGCUCAGAGGAAGCCCCGGCUAACUACG
rnacentral:rRNA from 1 species